CGUCAAAUCAUCAUGCCCCUUACGUCUUGGGCUUCACGCAUGCUACAAUGGCCGGUACAGAGGGCUGCGAAACCGUGAGGUGGAGCGAAUCCCUUAAAAGCUGGUCUCAGUUCGGAUUGGGGUCUGCAACUCGACCCCAUGAAGUCGGAGUCGCUAGUAAUCGCAGAUCAGCAACGCUGCGGUGAAUACGUUCCCGGGCCUU
rnacentral:rRNA from 1 species